UACGUAGGGUGCGAGCGUUGUCCGGAAUUAUUGGGCGUAAAGGGCUCGUAGGCGGUUUGUCGCGUCGGGAGUGAAAACACCGGGCUUAACUCGGUGCUUGCUUUCGAUACGGGCAGACUAGAGGUAUGCAGGGGAGAACGGAAUUCCUGGUGUAGCGGUGAAAUGCGCAGAUAUCGGGAGGAACACCCGUAGCGAAGGCGGCGCUCUGGGCCGGUACUGACGCUGAGGAGCGAAAGCGUGGGGAGCAAACAGG
rnacentral:rRNA from 1 species